UACAGAGGGGGCAAGCGUUGUUCGGAAUUACUGGGCGUAAAGGGCGCGUAGGCGGCCUGUUAAGUCGAACGUGAAAUCCCCGGGCUCAACCCGGGAACUGCGUCCGAUACUGGCAGGCUUGAAUCCGGGAGAGGGAUGCGGAAUUCCAGGUGUAGCGGUGAAAUGCGUAGAUAUUGGGAAGAACACCGGUGGCGAAGGCGGUUCUCUGGACCGACACUGACGCUGAGGCGCGAAAGCGUGGGGAGCAAACAGG
rnacentral:rRNA from 1 species